CGCAUCUGUGCAUGCAGCAUAUCAAUAAGCGGAGGAAAAGAAACUAACAAGGAUUCCCCUAGUAACGGCGAGUGAAGCGGGAAGAGCUCAAAUUUGAAAUCUUAAAGGGUUUCCCUUUACGAAUUGUAGUUUAAAGAAGUGUUUUCUGUUGAGGUUUUGGUAAAAGUUCUUUGGAAUAGGACAUCAUAGAGGGUGAGAAUCCCGUAUUUGACCUUUACUUUCAACUUUGUGAUACACUUUCAAAGAGUCGGAUUGUUUGGGAAUGCAGUCCAAAAUGGGUGGUAAAUUUCAUCUAAAGCUAAAUAUUGGCGAGGACCGAUAGCGAACAAGUACCGUGAGGGAAAGAUGAGAAGAACUUUGAAAAGAGAGUUAAACAGUACGUGAAAUUGUCAAAAGGGAAGCGUUUGACACCAGUGUUGUUUUUCUGAAAAUCAAUUAAAGAACUGUUUAUGCUAAGCUGUUUAGACUUUAUCAGCUAAUCUGUUUAGUUUUGAGCUUUUCUUUAAUGCACUUUUCAGUUAACAAGUCAACAUCAAUUUCUUUUGCUGUAAAAAAGCUUGAGGAAGGUGGCUUGAGAUUCGUCUUAAGUGUUUAUAGCCUCUUGCCUAUGCAGUCGGAGAGAUUGAGGUCUGCAGCGUAGAUCCUUCGGGGCUAAAUGCAUUUGUGCUAAGUUAUAACAUUUUAUAGACAACUUGUUGACUAUGAUUUGUCUUGUAGCUUACUCGCUUAUGUUAUUUUACCUACGCUUAGGAUGUUGACAGCAGUAUAGACUGU
rnacentral:rRNA from 1 species